GAGAUAUUAGAAAAAUUAUUUCAUAGCUUUGUCAAAGCUAAAUUAUAGGAUAUGUCCUAUAUAUCUUA
rnacentral:tRNA from 1 species